rnacentral:rRNA from 1 species
CCUACGGGUGGCAGCAGUGAGGAAUAUUGGUCAAUGGGCGCGAGCCUGAACCAGCCAAGUAGCGUGAAGGAUGACUGCCCUACGGGUUGUAAACUUCUUUUAUAAAGGAAUAAAGUGAGGCACGUGUGCCUUUUUGUAUGUACUUUAUGAAUAAGGCUCGGAUAACUCAGUGCCAGCAGCCGCGGUAAUACGGAGGAUCCGAGCGUUAUCCGGAUUUAUUGGGUUUAAAGGGAGCGUAGAUGGGUGGUGAAGUAAGUUGUGAAAGUUUGGGGCUCAACCGUAAAAUUGCAAUGGAUACGGGCAGCCUUGAGUACAGUUGAGGUAGGCGGAAUUCGUGGUGUAGCGGUGAAAUGCUUAGAUAUCACGAAGAACUCCGAUUGCGAAGGCGGCUUACUAAACUGCAACUGACAUUGAUGCUCGAAAGUGUGGGUAUCAAACAGGAUUAGAUACCCCUGUAGUC